rnacentral:lncRNA from 1 species
AGUCCAGCCGCAGGGGCCACCCGAACAGUCUCUCCUCCUCACAGAAGCCUGGAGCUGGGCAUCCAAGAAGAAGCAGCCUCAUUUGUUUUCUGGUGUCAUCACCAAAAAGAAGAAUGUACUUCAUCUGGUUGGGCUGGAUUCCCUCUGAUAAGCCUUCCCAGUUGACUGAAAGAUGAGGCUAGGCUCUAGCAAGUUGAAGUCAAACCAGCUCCUUCAAGAAGCUUUGAGCAGAAUGAAGUGGGGAGGACCCAGCUUCCAGCCCAGGAAGCCCACUGUACCUGGAGCCAUCUGGGAUAAGACUUUGACCCAUGACUCCCAUAUCCACAGCCUGUCCAUCCUAGCCCAUCCCAGUUUAUCCUGUAUCAUUUGAGCUGGGAUUCCCACAUCCUCUGAGUUGGAAGUCCCAUCUCAAGUCUUCAAUAAAGACUCUUGAAUAUUGAAUCACA